UAAUCAUGAGUUUAUUAUCAAAGAUAAAAAUGUAAGAGAUAUCAAGUAAGGAUAAUAGAAACAGAAAUGGGUACACAUAAAAUAAGAAGUACAACAUGCUUCUUAAAGUUAAAUUUAGACUCUAGCUCAGAGGUGGGCAAACUAUGGCCCACGAGCCAUUUUAAGCCAGCUCGCGAGCUCCCACUGAGGAGGCGGGUUGGGGGCUGCACCACACUGGUUGGCCCUGCUCCGAUGCUCCCAUCAGGGAGCCGGGUCGGGGGCCGCACCAUGCAGCUCAGCCCCGCUUCGGCACUGCAGCCGGGGCGCCAGGCACACCACGCGACUCAGCCCCACUCUGGCGCUCCAGCUGGGACGCUGGGGCGGGGGCCGCAUCAUGCAGCUCAGCCCCGCUUUGGCGCUCCAGCCGGGGCGCCGGCCACACCACGCGGCUCCCGGAAGCCGCAGCCUGGCCCCACUCCAAGGGUCAGGGGCCACUCCACACCUAGGAGCCGGAGAAGGGACAUGCCACCGCUUCUGGGCACCACUUGAGGUUUCCCUGACACAUGAAGUGCCCUCUGUGAACCGGUUUGUAAAACCACUACUCUCUCCUCUCCUUUGAAUCCCUCCUCAAGACCUACUGCAAAACGGAAUCCCUGCCCCUCUCCCAGGGUGCACUCUGACAUCAUCAUCAGGGGGCUGAGGUAGCAGAAGCUGCAUGAAGAGGCUACAGCAGCCUUGAGAUCACCAGACAGAGGAGGAGAAGAAUAAAGGAGGCUUUGUGCCAUCCCAUCCCCAGAGAAACUGCAGCAGUAUUGAGGAAGGUUGAGGAGAAAUACAACCCUCCAAACACACACACACACCCCUCCCUCCAAAGUUGGAGGGAGGGAUGGAGAAGCAGCACCCAAGUCACUUCCUCGCUCCCACUCCCCAAGAACAGGAGCAUGCUGAGAGUCAGGAGAGAAAUGCCCACUGGGAAGAACUCUCCUCUUAACAGGAACCUGGGCAGCCUGGAGAUAAUCUUCUGUUAUUUGCCUGGUUGAAGCAUGUGAAAACAGAGACAAGAGUAUUCUCAUGGAACAAAAUACAGACAGCAUCUAGCGCAACAAAGGAACAACUUUUCCAGAACUUUAAGGAUAUCAUGUUUUCAGAAAAUACCUCAGCAUUAACUAACACCAAAAG